rnacentral:rRNA from 1 species
CGAGGCGAACCGGGGAAACUGAAACAUCUCAGUACCCCGAGGAAAAGAAAUCAACCGAGAUUCCCCCAGUAGCGGCGAGCGAACGGGGAGCAGCCCAGAGUCAACAUCAAUAUUUACCACAGGAGAAGGGUCUGGAAAAGCCGGCAAUAAAGGGUGAUAGCCCCGUAUCUAAAGCGGUAAGUGUUGUGAACUCGAAGAGUAAGGCGGGACACGUGUUAUCCUGUCUGAAUAUGGGGGGACCAUCCUCCAAGGCUAAAUACUCCUGACUGACCGAUAGUGAACCAGUACCGUGAGGGAAAGGCGAAAAGAACCCCGGCGAGGGGAGUGAAAUAGAACCUAAAACCGUGUACGUACAAGCAGUAGGAGCACCCGAAAGGGUGUGACUGCGUACCUUUUGUAUAAUGAGUCAGCGACUUAUAUUCUGUAGCAAGGUUAACCGCAUAGGGGAGCCGUAGAGAAACCGAGUCUUAACUGGGCGUUAAGUUGCAGGGUAUAGACCCGAAACCCGGUGAUCUAGCCAUAAGCAGGUUGAAG